rnacentral:rRNA from 1 species
AUUGAACGCUGGCGGAAUGCUUUACACAUGCAAGUCGAGCGGCAGCGCGGGGGCAACCCUGGCGGCGAGCGGCGAACGGGUGAGUAACAUAUCGGAACGUACCCAGUCGUGGGGGAUAACUAUCCGAAAGGAUAGCUAAUACCGCAUACGUCCUGAGGGAGAGAGCGGGGGAUCGCAAGACCUCGCGCGAUUGGAGCGGCCGAUAUCGGAUUAGCUAGUUGGUGGGGUAAAGGCUCACCAAGGCGACGAUCCGUAGCGGGUCUGAGAGGACGACCCGCCACACUGGAACUGAGACACGGUCCAGACUCCUACGGGAGGCAGCAGUGGGGAAUUUUGGACAAUGGGGGCGAACCCUGAUCCAGCCAUUCCGCGUGAGUGAAGAAGGCCUCGGUUGUAAGACUCUUCUAGCAGAGAAACGGUAGGUCCGUAACUACGGAC